rnacentral:sRNA from 1 species
GCCAGGCAUGGUGGUGCACACCUGUAAUCCCAGUGGCUUGGGAGGCUGAGGCAGGAGGAUCGCAAGUGCAAAGCCAGCCUCAGCAUCUU